rnacentral:rRNA from 1 species
AACAUGGGGUGCAAACGUUGCUCGGAAUCACUGGGCGUAAAGCGCACGUAGGCGGACUCUUAAGUCGGUGGUGAAAUCCUGGAGCUCUACUCCAGAACUGCCUUCGAUACUGAGAGUCUUGAGUCCGGGAGAGGUGAGUGGAAGUGCGAGUGUAGAGGUGAAAUUCGUAGAUAUUCGCAAGAACACCAGUGGCGAAGGCGGCUCACUGGCCCGGUACUGACGCUGAGGUGCGAAAGCGUGGGGAGCAAACAGG